ensembl:ncRNA lncRNA:CR46241 long non-coding RNA:CR46241
CCUUUAGCUACUCGCCCUUUGCUGGUGUCACCCAUGAAGUGAGGAUGGAAAAUUUGAAUUGCAAAGCUCGACAGCUGGCGAAUCGAACACGAACUACGAGAAUGUGUGGUAACCCCAAUUCAACUCCUCUACAUCGUCGCUUUUUGACGGCUGAGUUUGGCAGGCGAGUCAUCUCAUCAGCAGGAUCGGAAUGAGAAACUGAAGCUGAGCUGGGAGCAGGAAGAGGAGCAGGACAACGGGCAGGACCAGUUGACAGGGAGGGCAGACAGCAAAGGGGCGUAGUUCAAGACAAUGAAUGUGUAGCAGCUUCAGCUGCACGAAGAUUAACUUUCGAGACAAGGU